rnacentral:rRNA from 1 species
AGUGAACGCUGGCGGUAGGCCUAACACAUGCAAGUCGAACGGCAGCACAGUAAGAGCUUGCUCUUACGGGUGGCGAGUGGCGGACGGGUGAGGGAUACAUCGGAAUCUACUUUUUCGUGGGGGCUAACGUAGGGAAACUUACGCUAAUACCGCAUACGACCUACGGGUGAAAGCAGGGGAUCUUCGGACCUUGCGCGAUUGAAUGAGCCGAUGUCGGAUUAGCUAGUUGGCGGGGUAAAGGCCCACCAAGGCGACGAUCCGUAGCUGGUCUGAGAGGAUGAUCAGCCACACUGGAACUGAGACACGGUCCAGACUCCUACGGGAGGCAGCAGUGGGGAAUAUUGGACAAUGGGCGCAAGCCUGAUCCAGCCAUACCGCGUGGGUGAAGAAGGCCUUCGGGUUGUAAAGCCCUUUUGUUGGGAAAGAAAAGCAGCAGGUUAAUACCCCGCUGUUCUGACGGUACCCAAAGAAUAAGCACCGGCUAACUUCGUG